rnacentral:rRNA from 1 species
CCCUUAGAUGUCCUGGGCCGCACGCGCGCUACACUGAUGCAUUCAACGAGUAUUUCCUUGGCCGAGAGGCCUGGGCAAUCUUUUAAACCUGCAUCGUGAUAGGGAUAGAUUAUUGCAAUUAUUAAUCUUGAACGAGGAAUUCCUAGUAAACGCAAAUCAUCAAUUUGCAUUGAUUACGUCCCUGCCCUUUGUACACACCGCCCGUCGCACCUACCGAUUGAAUGGUUUAGUGAGAUCUCUGGAUUGACGCUGGCUAGGGGGCGACCCUUGGCCAGACUGUUGAGAAACUGCUCAAACUUGAUCAUUUAGAGGAAGUAAAAGUCGUAACA